GACUUAAAUGCUCUUGUCUCAUUGUAUUACUGCUUCAACGGAAUAACCUAUUGAAUAUUGUUUAUUUCAGAUACAACUGAACUGUAUGUAUUUCUGUUAAUAAAAGUCAUUAUUCCGUAGCCAGUAUGGUUUAUGGCCAGCUGAGAUUUAUUGGGUCGCAUAUGAGGCCCGUGUAGCGAUUCAGUCUUUUCAUCUAGGUAAGACUAAAACUGGAGGCCAGCCUUUGCCGUCAUCAGGCAUUGGCUCUAGUGCUCCAUAUUAAUGACAUUUCUUUGCAUCAGACAUGUGGGGAUGUCAAUAUUUUCCCAACCAUAUGUUGUCUUUAUUCUUAAAAUAUGUUUAGAGCUUUGUUCCAAUACUUUUAGUGAUCAAAUAAGACGGAUCUAUACCUUAGCUGUGUCCACUACUACGUCAUUGGAUUCUCCAGGGCUACUCCAGAGAUGUAGAAACCCAGCUGAAAAUCCAUAGGAUAAACGCACCAGGUUUGUAGAAAUGCUUUAUACACCAGACAUUGCAUCGGGUGUGUCUUUAACAUACUUUGGAUCCACCUGGAACGAAAUCAGGUAUUUGUGAGUCGUUAACGUAAAGCGUGCAUGCAACUUUAUUUCAGCAUUUCCUAAAUUCUAGCUGUGAAUAGCGUUAACUGGCGGUGACCAUGUAACAUAGAGGAAAAGUGGAAAUUAGAACAUGCUCUGUAGUUCAAUGUGGUGAUUGUGGUCUAUGUAGUUAUGUCUUAAUCCAAUAUUUUAGCCGAUUUCCAGUUUAAGGUCAAACCGGAGAACGGAGCUUAUAGUUCCUGUAUACUUGACGCAUUAGUUCCAGAUAUUAAUGACAUCAAAUGCAAAGGAGAUCAGCAUUUAUUAAGCAAGAGAGAACGCAAUGGAAGGAUUUAAAUAAAAUCUCACUUUUAAGCGCGGCUGCUUGAUGAACCUCUGCUGCAGCUGUGAAUCCAGAUGCUCUGAAAGAUGAAAGAACUCCAGUGAGUUUGAGUUUGCAUAUGAACGCAUAUGCCAGAUUCCCGUGGACCUCCGAGAGGCAAGAUGCUCAUGACCUGGUGCCAAGAUGAUGCCCUGAUAAUGGUACGUGGAGGGCGACUGCAUUAGGUUCCUUUGACUGGAGUUGAAUCAAAUGCAUAAUGGCAAAGUGCACAUGAGCACGAAUAAACAUGGCGUUGAAUGUCUGAUGAAUUCAAUAAAAAAAUUAACUGGA